GACGAACGCUGGCGGCGUGCUUAACACAUGCAAGUCGAACGGACAGGCCCUGCUUUUGUGGGGUGCUCGAGUGGCGAACGGGUGAGUAACACGUGAGUAACCUGCCCUUGACUUUGGGGUAACUUCAGGAAACUGGGGCUAAUACCCGAUAGGAUCUCCUGCUGCAUGGUGGGGGUUGGAAAGAUUCGGCGGUUGGGGAUGGACUCGCGGCUUAUCAGCUUGUUGGUGGGGUAGUUGCUUACCAAGGCUUUGACGGGUAGCCGGCCUGAGAGGGUGACCGGGCACAUUGGGACUGAGAGACGGCCCAGACGCCAACGGGAGGCAGCAGGGGGGAAUAUGGCACAAUGGGCGGAAGCCUGAGGCAGAAACGCCGCGUGCGGGAUGACGGCCUUCGGGUUAUAAACAGCUUUCGCCUGUGACGAAGAGUGAGUGACGGUAAUGGGUAAAGAAGCACCGGCUAACUACGUG
rnacentral:rRNA from 1 species